GACGAACGCUGGCGGCGUGCUUAACACAUGCAAGUCGAACGGAAAGGCCCUGCUUUUGUGGGGUGCUCGAGUGGCGAACGGGUGAGUAACACGUGAGUAACCUGCCCUUGACUUUGGGAUAACUUCAGGAAACUGGGGCUAAUACCGGAUAGGAGCUCCUGCUGCAUGGUGGGGGUUGGAAAGUUUCGGCGGUUGGGGAGGGACUCGCGGCUUAUCAGCUUGUUGGUGGGGUAGUGGCUUACCAAGGCUUUGACGGGUAGCCGGCCUUAGAGGGUGACCGGCCACAUUGGGACUGAGAUACGGCCCAGACUCCUACGGGAGGCAGCAGUGGGGAAUAUUGCACAGUGGGCGGAAGCCUGAUGCAGCAACGCCGCGUGCGGGAUGACGGCCUUCGGGUUGUAAACCGCUUUCGCCUGUGACGAAGCGUGAGUGACGGUAAUGGGUAAAGAAGCACCGGCUAACUACGUG
rnacentral:rRNA from 1 species